AGUCUCUCCCCCGCUGAUGGUUCGUCACGGCCCCAACGGGUGCCACGACGAGGAGACAGGGAACCCGGCGGGAAUCCGGGACUGCCCCGCAGCGGUGAACGGGAACGACAGCCGUCGCCGUCCAACUUGGACGGUGUAGCCACACUGGGAGACCUCCGGUCCCCGGGAAGUGACGGCCGUAGGACCGGUGAGAGACCACUCGCCGGAUGCCCGUGAGUCCGAAGACCUGCCAUCGGCGCGUGCCAACG
rnacentral:ncRNA from 1 species